ensembl:lncRNA
UUCCCAAAGUGGAACCAUAGCAAUAUUUACUAUAUCAUCAAAGUGUCCUGAAGGGAGAGAUGUGGGGACAGUUUCAAGGGUCAUGUUUAACCUUAGGUUUGUUACACAAUAUGAGCAAACAGCAGCAACCCUGGAUAUUUUGUACUCUUGGUAUUCUGAAAACAAUUGGGUGUCAAUCAAAUAAGCAUAUUAAACCAGGGUCACUUACCUUGUAAAUGAACGUUAGUGUGGACUCAUUUUAAAAGAAUGUAUUGAGUGAUUGAGUUUCUUUACAUCUUCACCAGCGUUCAGCCACCAAAGACCUUGUGAAAAAGUGAUGCCACACUGAAAAGGCGUAUGUAACCCACCACCGAGACCGAUGCUGAAGCUCCGAUAAAGGCUCUGAUACAAAGAGCCGCUCAUUGGAAAAGACCCCGAUGCUGGGAAAGAUUGAGGGCGGGAGAGUGGUCACAAAGGACAUGAAGUGGUCACAAAGAUUGUGGUCACAACAGACAUGAGUUUGAGCAAACUCCGGGAGACGGUGAAGGACAGGGCAGCCUGGCGUGCUGCAGUUCAUGGGGCUGCAAAAGUCGGACACGACGGAGUGAACAACAGCACCUGAGCCUUUAGCACCCAUACUGCAAUUGCAUUUCCGGCGUGGAGGCAGUGGCGCCUACCAAGGGUGCAUUCACGUUCCGAACAAAAGCCAAGUUAAGGCAUCAAUGCUGGAAUUCAUGGAAGUCCGUGUCCCAAAUGGAGUGGACUUUACAAGUCUUUCAGUGUGA